rnacentral:rRNA from 1 species
GACGAACGCUGGCGGCGUGCUUAACACAUGCAAGUCGAGCGGAAAGGCCACUUCGGUGGUACUCGAGCGGCGAACGGGUGAGUAACACGUGAGUAAUCUGCCCUUGGCUUUGGGAUAGCCACCGGAAACGGUGAUUAAUACCGGAUAUGACCACUUCACGCAUGUGAUGGUGGUGGAAAGUUUUUCGGCCAGGGAUGUGCUCGCGGCCUAUCAGCUUGAUGGUGAGGUAAUGGCUCACCAUGGCUUCGACGGGUAGCCGGCCUGAGAGGGUAACCGGUCACACUGGGACUGAGACACGGCCCAGACUCCUACGGGAGGCAGCAGUGGGGAAUAUUGGACAAUGGGCGGAAGCCUGAUCCAGCAACGCCGCGUGAGGGAUGACGGCCUUCGGGUUGUAAACCUCUUUCGCCUAUGACGAAGCGCAAGUGACGGUAAUAGGUAAAGAAGCACCGGCCAACUACGUGCUAGCCGCCGCAGUAACAC